GAUCAUGGCUCAGAUUGAACGCUGGCGGAAUGCUUUACACAUGCAAGUCGAACGGUAGAGGGGGCAACCCCUCGAGAGUGGCGAACGGGUGAGUAAUAUAUCGGAACGUGCCCAGUCGUGGGGGAUAACGUAGCGAAAGUUACGCUAAUACCGCAUACGAUCUACGGAUGAAAGCGGGGGACUCGCAAGAGCCUCGCGCGAUUGGAGCGGCCGAUAUCAGAUUAGGUAGUUGGUGGGGUAAAGGCUCACCAAGCCAACGAUCUGUAGCUGGUCUGAGAGGACGACCAGCCACACUGGAACUGAGACACGGUCCAGACUCCUACGGGAGGCAGCAGUGGGGAAUUUUGGACAAUGGACGCAAGUCUGAUCCAGCCAUUCCGCGUGCAGGAUGAAGGCCCUCGGGUUGUAAACUGCUUUUGUACGGAACGAAAAGGUUUCUAUUAAUACUAGGAGCUCAUGACGGUACCGUAAGAAUAAGCACCGGCUAACUACGUG
rnacentral:rRNA from 1 species